UACAGAGGUCCCAAGCGUUGUUCGGAUUCAUUGGGCGUAAAGGGUGCGUAGGUGGCGGGGUAAGUUGGAUGUGAAAUCCUGGGGCUCAACCCUAGAACUGCAUUCAAUACUGCCUUGCUAGAGUACUGGAGAGGAGAUUGGAAUUUACGGUGUAGCAGUGAAAUGCGUAGAUAUCGUAAGGAAGACCGGUGGCGAAGGCGGAUCUCUGGACAGUUACUGACACUGAGGCACGAAGGCCAGGGGAGCAAACGGG
rnacentral:rRNA from 1 species